rnacentral:rRNA from 1 species
GCAAGUCGAGCGGACAGAUGGGAGCUUGCUCCCUGAUGUUAGCGGCGGACGGGUGAGUAACACGUGGGUAACCUGCCUGUAAGACUGGGAUAACUCCGGGAAACCGGGGCUAAUACCGGAUGCUUGUUUGAACCGCAUGGUUCAAACAUAAAAGGUGGCUUCGGCUACCACUUACAGAUGGACCCGCGGCGCAUUAGCUAGUUGGUGAGGUAACGGCUCACCAAGGCAACGAUGCGUAGCCGACCUGAGAGGGUGAUCGGCCACACUGGGACUGAGACACGGCCCAGACUCCUACGGGAGGCAGCAGUAGGGAAUCUUCCGCAAUGGACGAAAGUCUGACGGAGCAACGCCGCGUGAGUGAUGAAGGUUUUCGGAUCGUAAAGCUCUGUUGUUAGGGAAGAACAAGUACCGUUCGAAUAGGGCGGUACCUUGACGGUACCUAACCAGAAAGCCACGGCUAACUACGUGCCAGCAGCCGCGGUAAUACGUAGGUGGCAAGCGUUGUCCGGAAUUAUUGGGCGUAAAGGGCUCGCAGGCGGUUUCUUAAGUCUGAUGUGAAAGCCCCCGGCUCAACCGGGGAGGGUCAUUGGAAACUGGGGAACUUGAGUGCAGAAGAGGAGAGUGGAAUUCCACGUGUAGCGGUGAAAUGCGUAGAGAUGUGGAGGAACACCAGUGGCGAAGGCGACUCUCUGGUCUGUAACUGACGCUGAGGAGCGAAAGCGUGGGGAGCGAACAGGAUUAAAUACCCUGGUAGUCCACGCC